UUUUGGCGAACGAGUGACGGGAAGCGAAAUCAAUAUGGCGGCAGCGACGAGCGUUAGCAUAACCGAAGUGGAUUAUUUACUUAGUUGUAUAUUUUCUUCUAUAUCUUUGGACGAAAAGGUUAAGAGACUGGGACCACAUCAUCGAAACGAUGUUCAAAUAACACAAACGACAGAAUCGUAAAGUUUGUGUUAUGUGGUUUCAACGAAAGGACUAGCUAACGGCAAGCAGGAAUUCACUUUACUGUGUCCCAUGCCUGCUUUUUGGAGGAGACACAGCUUGAAUUCAACAAGGAAUUGUGGAUUUGAAGCAUUUAUCUGACAAAAUUAGGAAACACGAAUGAAGCACAGCACAAGUCACAUUGGAAAUAGGGUAAAGUUAACAUCGCCUGCCACCUGGAUGAAGGACACCGCAUUGCUUUAGACUCUAAAGCACUUGGUGUCGUUUGACUUCAACGACAGGGUGAUUAACAUGUUUGCAUCCCAGAAAACUCGAUGUUGUGAUCUUCACUUUAAAUAAGUGGCUGUUUGAGAGUGAAAAACUCCACUGUGCAUGGGGAGGAACUACUGAGGAGUGGAGGAGAGACAGUGUUUCGCAGCUUGGGCUGAUGGAUCCAGGUAAAAGUCUCAUCGAGAUUUAAUUUUCCAAGAGAGACCUGGCCGUCAUGGAAGCAAAGGUUACAACAAAUACAACAUACCAACAGAAGAAGCGAGCACAAUUUAAAGCAAAAGAUCCAAUAAAGAGCAGUCAUGUCGGAGGUGAUGUGAUGACAUCUGAUAAACAAGAAGUCAAGCUGCUGCUGUUUGAACUAGCUCAAGGUGAUAUACUUGUUUUAUAGUGCUAUGCUCUCACUUGUAUUCUGUAUGCUGCUUUUGCUUCAGCUUAUUUUUUUUUACCAUCUCAUCUUCCCAAGGUCAAAACUACUCUAGGCUGAAAUUGAAAUUGUCACAAUAUUUUAAGUAUUACUAUUCGAAAUGUAAUUUGAAACGCACGUUGAAAAGCUUGUAUCCAACCUGAACUUUAAAUUAGGUUUCUUUUUAAGGAAUAAAUGACAGGAA